UAACCACUCAAGCCUGUCUUGGUGUUGGGGUUGCGAAUCUUUUGCAGCCCUCGAGUCUCGUAGCGCCACCUGUGGGUUCUAAGCGUAGUAAUUUCUCCUCGCUAUAGAACCUGCUCGGGGAAAAGUAUAAUUCGUAGCCUGGUUCUAUGUGUCCGCUAUAAAACCCCCAAUUUUUAAA
rnacentral:misc_RNA from 1 species